CUCAUCGUGAGGUGGGAUCUGAAGGAAGCCGAAGGUAAAGCGCGAAUCCGACGGACUGGAAUCGCAUACGAGGCAGCCAUAUCUGGGCGAGGGGGCCAUGAUACCCAAAGCCCGAUCGUCAUGCAGAAGAUAGGGAAGUAUCUGUGGCGGGUAUAUGGAAUGAAGGUCUCGUGUC
rfam:Magnetococcus sp. MC-1, complete genome.